rnacentral:rRNA from 1 species
GAUGAACGCUAGCUGGAGGCUUAAUACAUGCAAGUCGAGCGGGAUUGGUAGCAAUACCAUGAGAGUGGCGCACGGGUGAGUAACGCGUACACGACCUACCUCUAACAGGGGGAUAGCCCUGGGAAACUGGGAUUAAUACCGCAUAUAAUUCUGAUAAAUAAAUGAUUGGAAUGAAAGUUCAGGCGGUUAGAGAUGGGUGU